UUGGAAUUGUUGUGGUAUAGUGAUAUUGUACCAAUCUCACUAUGUCUAAUUCACAUUUCAGUACUACAUUUGGGCUAUUACUUGUCUUGAAAACUCUGAAUCUGUUAUGGUGUCUGCACAUACAUCUGCUGGGAAAACUGUUGUGGCGUUAUAUGCAAUUGCUAUGUCGCUUCGAAAUGGACAAUGUGUUAUCUACACUUCACCUAUUAAGGCACUUAGUAAUCAAAAGUAUAGAGAAUUUAAAGAAGAGUUUUCUGAUGUUGGUUUGAUGACUGGUGACGUUACCAUUGAUCCCAAUGCUUCUUGCUUGGUCAUGACUACAGAAAUUUGGCGUAGUAUGCAAUACAAAGGGUCUGAGGUCACCAGGGAGGUGGCUUGGAUAAUUUUUGAUGAGGUGCAUUAUAUGCGUGAUCGCGAAAGGGGUGUGGUUUGGGAAGAGAGCAUUGUUAUGUCGCCAAAGAAUGCCCGUUUUGUCUUCCUCUCUGCCACUGUCCCCAAUGCCAAGGAAUUUGCUGAUUGGGUGGCAAAGGUGCACCAACAGCCUUGUCAUAUUGUUUAUACGGAUUACCGGCCAACUCCCCUUCAACAUUAUAUUUUUCCUUCCGGAAGUGAGGGUAUGUACUUGGUUGUAGAUGAAAAGGGAAAAUUUCGCGAAGACAGCUUUCAGAAAGCUUUGAAUGCUCUUGUUCCUGCUGCUGAUGGUGAUAGGAAAAAUGAAAAUGCCAAGUGGCAAAAAGGUUUGGUGCUGGGCAAGGCUGCUGAAGAAAGUGACAUAUUCAAGAUGGUGAAAAUGAUCAUCCAACGUCAAUACGAUCCCGUGAUACUGUUCAGCUUUAGCAAGAGGGAGUGUGAGUUUCUUGCAAUGCAGAUGGCAAAAAUGGAUCUUAAUGGGGAUAUAGAGAAGGACAACAUAGAAAAAAUAUUUUGGUGUGCUAUGGAUAUGCUUUCAGAUGAUGAUAAGAAGUUGCCUCAGUUUUACAAGUUUUGCAAGAGUUCAUUGAAUCUGCAACGGUUGAUCAUGGUCUGUGUUUGUGGCACAUAUUAUUAGGAGCUUGCAAGAACCAUCGUAACUAUGUACUCGGAAUUUAUGCUGGAGAGAAACCGAUGGAGCUAGUGUCACUAGAAUCAUCUGUUGAUGUAUUGUUAUCAAGUAUAUAUACAGCCUUAGGGGAGUUGCAAUAUCAUAUUCCGGUUGGAAUUGAUUAGAUUGAAAAAUCUAAGGUGGUAGAUUUUCUAUCAACCUUCAGCCUUGGACUAUCACAGUCGGAUGACUCAAAAGCUUCAUCAUCGCGUAGUUUUAGACAACUGAGGGGGGAAAUGGAAGAGGCAAAAGGAAAUGAAAAGAAAAGAAGCAACAUAACAAAACUGAGGGGGAAGGAAGUUUGGAUGAUGAUGAAAAUGUAAAGGAUAAAAAGCUGAAGAAAGGUACUGAACCUGAGCAGAGAUUGAGACACAAAAUGAAUAUUCCUAAGGAGGAGUGUCAUUUUUAUUUAAAUUAAAUUGUACAGAAUGAGUGCCAUUUUUCUUUAAAUUAAAUUGUAUACCAUAACAAAAGCAUGGAUGUUAGAGAAAGGGAAAUUAAAGUAUGAAGAAAAUUUAUUUUUCUUUUGUGUACCA